AGGGCACCAGCCCAACUGGCAGAGCCUCGGUCUCCAAAACCGAAGGUUGGGGGCUCAAGUCCCCCGUGCACUGCAA
rnacentral:tRNA from 1 species